UACGUAGGGGGCAAGCGUUGUCCGGAAUUAUUGGGCGUAAAGCGCGCGCAGGCGGCUUUGUAAGUUUGGUGUUUAAUCUCAGAGCUCAACUCUGAUUCGCAUCGAAAACUGCAAGGCUUGAGUACAGAAGAGGAAAGUGGAAUUCCACGUGUAGCGGUGAAAUGCGUAGAGAUGUGGAGGAACACCUGAGGCGAAGGCGGGCUACUGGGCCGAUACUGACGCUGAGGCGCGAAAGCCAGGGGAGCAAACGGG
rnacentral:rRNA from 1 species